rnacentral:rRNA from 1 species
CAUGCAAGUCGAGCGGAUGAGAGGAGCUUGCUCCUUGAUUUAGCGGCGGACGGGUGAGUAAUGCCUAGGAAUCUGCCUGGUAGUGGGGGAUAACGUUCCGAAAGGAACGCUAAUACCGCAUACGUCCUACGGGAGAAAGCAGGGGACCUUCGGGCCUUGCGCUAUCAGAUGAGCCUAGGUCGGAUUAGCUAGUUGGUGAGGUAAUGGCUCACCAAGGCGACGAUCCGUAACUGGUCUGAGAGGAUGAUCAGUUACACUGGAAUUGAGACACGGUCCAGACUCCUACGGGAGGCAGCAGUGGGGAAUAUUGGACAAUGGGCGAAAGCCUGAUCCAGCCAUGCCGCGUGUGUGAAGAAGGUCUUCGGAUUGUAAAGCACUUUAAGUUGGGAGGAAGGGCAUUAACCUAAUACGUUAGUGUUUUGACGUUACCGACAGAAUAAGCACCGGCUAACUUCGUGCCAGCAGCCGCGGUAAUACGAAGGGUGCAAGCGUUAAUCGGAAUUACUGGGCGUAAAGCGCGCGUAGGUGGUUCGUUAAGUUGGAUGUGAAAGCCCCGGGCUCAACCUGGGAACUGCAUCCAAAACUGGCGAGCUAGAGUACGGUAGAGGGUGGUGGAAUUUCCUGUGUAGCGGUGAAAUGCGUAGAUAUAGGAAGGAACACCAGUGGCGAAGGCGACCACCUGGACUGAUACUGACACUGAGGUGCGAAAGCGUGGGGAGCAAACAGGAUUAGAUACCCUGGUAGUCCACGCCGUAAACGAUGUCAAUCUAGCCGUUGGGUUCCUUGAGAACUUAGUGGCGCAGCUAACGCAUUAAGUGACCGCUGGAACC